UACAGAGGUCCCAAGCGUUGUUCGGAUUUACUGGGCGUAAAGGGCGCGCAGGCGGCUAUCCAAGUCAGGCGUGAAAGCCCCGGGCUUAACCUGGGAGGUGCGUCUGGGACUGGGUGGCUAGAGUUCGGGAGAGGAGAGUGGAAUUCCCAGUGUAGAGGUGAAAUUCGUAGAUAUUGGGAAGAACACCGGUGGCGAAGGCGGCUCUCUGGACCGAGACUGACGCUGAGGCGCGAAAGCGUGGGGAGCAAACAGG
rnacentral:rRNA from 1 species